UGUCAGCUCCGGGGAUUUCCUGGAUUCCCCGUUUAACACUGCAGCGCCACUGUCUCUGGCUCACACUCCGGUCGAAUUCCCUUCUCUGCUUCAUCAUUCUCUGCAGCGCUGGUCACUAGCUGGGACUUGGAGGGGCAUGCCAGUCAACCUCUGUCCCGUGGAGGUAGGCUCUGGGACAGCCUGACUCCCUGCAUAUGGAGCUACAGGGUUUCUCUGGGGUCAGCAUGGAGGCUAAUUGUUACCUACUCAUAAGAAGCAGGGAGGACAGAAGAUGGGCGGAGACAGCUCUCAGUCUCAUUCUGAGGAUCCCUGGAGGCAGGAUCAUCAUAUUGGACUGAGGUAGAGAUCAGUGCAACACUCAACCUUGAUGAAAAGAACUUUUUACAGUGGAUAGUGGUCAAUACAGAGUCUCAUAACUAACUCAUCAAGGGCUGAGAACAAGUGACGGCUGAGGGCUCAGACCAAAGCAGAACAUCGUACCAACUCCAUCCAAGGCCCGGGGAACACAGAAGAAAGGGCAGAACACAAGAACUGGAGAAUGGUGGAGGAGCUGUGAAAUUCUGUCUUCUGGACAUGAUGAGGCUGUAGGACUCGUGGAUUCAUGGGAACUGUAGUCGUGCGCACAAGACCUGCAUGAGGUCAAGCCAACCGGCAUUCCAGUGUGGAUCAGGGAAGGGCUCAUGAGUCUCCCCGCCCCAGUAGGAGAGCUGUUAGCAAUUGACAGCUGCUGGGGGAGAGAGAGCUUGUUUUCCUCGGGGGUGUUGCCUGUAUGAUUGUAGGCAGCACUAACUGAACUCCUUGGGUUAUUAAAACAAAAAAACAAACAAGCAAACAAACAACAAAACAGAAGAGGACACCAUUGGGAGGAUCUAAGGGAGCAGGAGGGUGACUUAGGCUGGAUAUGAUCAAGUAUAUAUGAUACAUACAUAGCAGAAUUGUCAAAGGCUGAGUUAGAAUUUUCUUUUAAAGUCAGGAUAAUCAUGCAGAUUCCUCAAGCGCUCGUCACACUUAGUUCUUCUCAGUGGUGAAGACUCAACAUCUUUUCGUUUAGCAUUUGAAGUGCACAGGACAGCACUGCCAUGUGUAGUCCCCUGCUGGGCAGUCGCAGUUCAGAACUGCGCUCUGGUCUUGCUAUAACUCUGUGCUCCACCCCAACUCCACCUGAAUUUAGCAACCACUGUCCAGAUCUCAGCGCCUUCAGCACUAACUUCUUCAGAUUCCAGGGGCGAGGUGCCCAUCUUUCUGGGCCUGGAGGGUUUCAUGUACCUCGUUGCUGCCAGGUCCCUCCCAGUGGUAGAAGUGAUGAGAUUUCAUCUCUACUUUGAGUUCAUUCAUUGUCCUCUUCUAGAUGAGAGAAGAUGACAACAUGCCCCGUCUGAAGUAAAGAGCUACCCCAAAGCCCAGACUGCGGGAUGCACAGUGGUCCACCCUGCCCCCUGCUGGCUCACCACCCUUGGCCGGGGGAACUUCCACUGCUCCUCUAGGGUCUUGCAUAUUUGCCUUGAAUUUUGCUUAUGAAGGUGGAAACCCCCGUGUGAGGCACUGUCUUGUCCUAGUGAGCUUCCUUUUCCUGUUACGGAACAAGUCUGGGCUACACAGCUGUGGGUGUCGUCAGACACAGGGAUGGGGAACUUGAGAUUUGUGCAGACCGCUGUCUGGAAUACGUAUUGAAGUCUCUAGGCUGGGGAGAUGCUCAGUCAGAAGGCGCUGGCCAUGCAAGCAUCAGGUCUUAACUUCAAGUCCCAGAACACAUGUAAAGGCUAGGUGUGGUGGGAAGUACCUAUAGUCCCAUAGUUGGAGAGGCGCAGACAGGCAGAUGCCUGAGGCAUAAUGUUCAAAUCAGGAUAACUUGCUUGGCAGCCCAUCUAAGCAAACUAAUUAGCUCCAAGUCAGUGAGAUAUCCUGUCUCAAACAAAAAGGAGAGAGAUUGGAGAAGACUCCUGACCUCUGCCUUUGGCCUGCACACUUAUUUAUACACAUACAGGCAUGCACAUGCACAUGCUCACGCACACACACACACACACACACACACACACACACACUCAUGAACAUGUACAUGUAUAUAUCAAAAUGUCCAAGUCUUGGGAAUGACAGUCUUGCUGAGGUCUUUAGGGGGAGUAGGGAAGCGUCUACAAUAUUUUUUGGUGGGGCAUCAGAAGCCAAAAUGGACGAAGGGGCAACACAGCUGGAGAGACUCACGAUAAAGCAUGCUGGAUGAGGUGCUCAUGAUAGUCAUCAUAUCCUUGCUGAAUAUCACAGAACGCUGUGGGAGAAGUGUGGGAAAGGGAAACCUCGCGCUUCUGGGAGGAGACUGGGGACCACACGCUCAGAGGGAGUGGUAGUGACUGUCUAAGGUGGUGAUGCUGGAGCGAUAUGUUUAGAUCAGUCGCUUCUGUUGUCUCCUCCUCUUCCUCCUUCUCCCCUUCUUCUAAAGCAAGUGCAUUGAUAAUAAGCCACACCCACAGCUCCGCCUUCAGUUUUUAGUGCAGCGGUUCUUGACCUUCCUAAUGCUGCGGCCCUUUAAUGCAGUUCCUCAUGCUGUAGUGACCCCAACCAUAAACUUAUUUUCAUCACUACUCCAUAAGGGCAAUUUUGCUCCUGUUAUGAAUCAUAAUGUGAACAUCUGUGCUUUUUGAUGGUCUUAGGUGACUCCUGUAUAAGGGUCAUUUGUCCCCCUAGGAUUGCCACCUGCAGGUUGAGAAGCACUGUUUCAAGACAGUACCUCACUUAGUCGCCCAGGAUGGCUUCUCCCUGUGGCUGGGACUACAACCUGGCCUUUUGUCACCACUUGUGACGUGGGCGCUAUGGUUGACAGAGCACAGUCUCCCAAUUUUCGUACCUGUGUUGGGAAUGGCAGGCGCUUUGAAAAGCCCUAUUAUAUUUCUGAUACUUACAGGUCUUUUUCUCUUAGAAUUUGGGGCUGUGUAUUACACAUCCAUUUAGUCACCCUUCUUUCCUUUCCUCCUGCCCUCUCCUUGUUUCCCUCCCUACCUCUGUUCUUCCUUUCAUUUUCCCCAGUAACUCUGCUCAGCACACGUUAUAAUUAGUUAAUAGAAGACUCAGGGUAAAGUAGGGGCCGGAGAGAUGGUUCAGGGAUUAAGAGCUCUCCCAGAGGAUCUGGGUUCAAGUCCCAGCACCACGUAGCAGUUUCUAACUUUGCUGGCCUCUGUGAGUACUGCAGGCGUGUGGUGUGCAGACACACAAGCAGAAAACAACACUCAAACACAUAAAAAUGAAAAAAAAUAAAUCUCAAAGACAAGUAAAGUGUGUGUAGCCUUUUCCAUGUUGAUCAUAACACAUUAAAAAGCUAUCAUUUAAAAUAAUAAAAUAAAGGUCACUGACUAAACCCCCAUGCAUCUAGGUGUAGUUGAAGGUCAACGAUUCUUUUCAAUGGAAGUUUAUCCUGUGCAAUAUUAGGACUUACUCAUAUUAAAGUUUUGUUUUUCUGAUA